rnacentral:tRNA from 13 species
GUCAGAAUGGCCGAGCGGUCUAAUUCGCCAGAUUUAAUCUCUGGUUCUCGAAAGAGAGCGUGGGUUCGAACCCCACUUCUGACA